GUUGACCUCGGAUCAGGUAGGGAUACCCGCUGAACUUAAGCAUAUCAAUAAGCGGAGGAAAAGAAACCAACAGGGAUUGCUCUAGUAACGGCGAGUGAAGCAGCAAUAGCUCAAAUUUGAAAUCUGGCGUCUUCGACGUCCGAGUUGUAAUUUGUAGAGGAUGCUUCUGAGUAACCACCGACCUAAGUUCCUUGGAACAGGACGUCAUAGAGGGUGAGAAUC
rnacentral:rRNA from 3 species